rnacentral:lncRNA from 1 species
GAUUUAAUUAUUUUUAUCUUAGUCAUAUGUACUAAGAUAAAAAAAAAACGAUUUGAUCAAUUCUAAGCAUAUAUUUAGAAUUUGAUCGAGUUUGAAUAUGGUUGUGGUUUGGCUCUAGUUUUAUAUGCUAGAGAAUUGGGUUGAAAUAGUUUGUUUCCAAAGACUUGGUAUAGAGAAGAGGUUGGAUUAGGUUGUGCAUGAUUGAGGUUAGGUUUGGACUUUGAUUUGGUUAUUAUGGUAUAGGUUUCAUGUAUGG